rnacentral:lncRNA from 1 species
CUAUUUUGUUGGCUAUAUAUGUAUACAUUUUCUGAGGUUUGAUCUGCUAUAAUUUGGUCAAAUUGGGUAUUAUUGAUUAGAUACUGUGUGUGCUUAUUAUGGAACUGAUAUUUGGUAGGCAUAGAGUCAAGCCUUAAAUAAAGAUCUAAGGAUCCUGCUCUCCUCCAAUAAUGACUCAGUGAUCAGAAGUUAGACUCAACCUGACCAUAUGCCUUAGAACAAUGAAGAUGAAUCUUUUAGAGACUGAGUGCCCAAACUGCAACCCUCAUACCACAGAAUAGAAUAGCCAAGUUUUGGAGCCAAGCCAACUGCUUCUUCUCCUGACAUGAAUUAGUAACCUUUGGAGAUGGGAUGAAUAAGAAGAGUCUCAAGAUGUCUAUUGUGUUACCCUUAACAUCAUACAAUGACAGACUUCGUGCUACACAUGAUGCUUCCUUGCCACAGGACCUUGGAUUGGAGGUUUUACAUCAGGUUUCUGGCUUUUGUGAUACCAGCUGAAGAGAAAAGAAUCCUGCUUGGACUGGCUGCUGGCAGCUAGGACAGAGGAUUAAAAACUCACUUCUCCACUGGACCUGAUUUGGACAAUUUUCAUCUGAAGAUCCUGGCCCAUUGACUGGACUCCAUUUGUGAGAUUUUGUGUUUAGGUUUAUAGAAAUGAGGGUUUAAGAUUAAUUGUAAUAAUUUUCCUUACCCUUUCCCCCCAAAACCUGAUUUUUAUAUGUUUCCUUCUUGUUCUUUCCCCUAAAAAAAUCCAAAUAUUACAAUGUUAUCUCCAGAGAAUGAACUGAAAGGUUAAAACAUUUCUAAGGACAAACUUAACUUAAUUUGUAUGAAUAUGCCUGUCUGAUGGUGCCUCCUAUGAUGUGGAGAGAAUGGAAAGGGGAUACUUGUGGGUAAAUUCUAUUAACA